rnacentral:rRNA from 1 species
UGCCCACUGAGAUUAUUGAAUGGCUGCGGUAUAUUGACCGUACUAAGGUAGCAUAAUCAUUAGUUUUUUAAUUGGGAACUGGAAUGAAUGAUUGAAUGAAAAAAUAACUGUCUCUGUUUAAUUUAAUGAAUUUUAUUUUUAAGUAAAAAAGCUUAAAUAUUUUUAAAAGACGAGAAGACCCUAUAGAGUUUUAUAUAAAUUUAUAUUUUAAUUUUUAGUAAUUUAAAGUUUUAUGUAAAAAUUUAUUUAAUUGGGGUGAUUGGAAAAUUAAAUUAACUUUUCUUAUUUUUUACCAUAAAUUUAUGAAUAAAUGAUCUUGAAUUAUGAUUAAAAGAAAAAAUUACCUUAGGGAUAACAGCGUAAUUUUUUUUUAGAGUUCAAAUUAAAAAAAAAGAUUGCGACCUCGAUGUUGGAUUAAAAUUUAUUUUUGGUGCAGAAGUUA